UUUCUCUGUGCUCUACUGUGCUAUGGUCAUAAGCAUGUAGCAAAUAUAAGGGUCUCAUAAAAAACAUCGUCGAAAUUAAUAAUCUCUUCACCCAUUUCAACAUCUAAUUGAAAACAAAACUCUUGGUGCUAGUAGAGAAAAUCAAACUAGAGUAUUCCCACCCAAUAUCGGGCUAUAGGGAAGCAGCCAAGCAAUUUGAUGAUCAUGGGAUCUGGACACGAUAACUGUAUUUCCUCAACAGCCUUGUGAUGAAAGAGAUUAUGCAACUCUCACUGCCCACCAUAUGUAGAAGUUGCAUCAGAAGCCUUCUUUUGCUCUGGUCCAUGAUAAAUAUGGUACUGCAUGCAAAGAUUUGGCUCUGUAAUAUCAGGCUCUCUCACACCUGCAUUUCGAGUUUUAGACAAUGUCUGUUUUGUAUUCUUUUCUUAUACUAAAAAGGAAAUGGAAGUAUUGUAUAGAAAUUAUAAUUGAAAACAACAUCAGCACAUGGUGUUUUUAAAGCAAAAGAAUAGAUAGAGAUAAGCAGACAUACAAAAUGGCUAGUGGUGGGUACUUCCCGAUAUUACUUGCAAGUUCACCUUCAUAUAUGUUCUAUUCAUUUUAUUUAUCAAGUGAAUGUGCCAUGCUUUUUGUUUUGAAGUGUGAGCCAGGUGAUUGGAAGGCACAAUCAGCAUCCACAGACUCCAGGGAAACCAGAACCACCAUCUCUGGAGCUGCAGGUAAGAUGUGGCCUCUUCUAUAGUCCUUGUGUAUAUUAAAGUGUUCUCUGUGUUUGGACAAAAUAAAUAAAUGAACCGAAACAAAGGGAAACCUAACUUUCUGGAUAAAAAAAAUUCUAAUAUCAUCGACAGUGUUCCCUUUAACAUUUCAUUAUGGAAGGCAUUCGAAAAGUACUUUUUCCUAAUGUUUAUUAGUCUCAUAUGUAUACUUGUCAGGUAAAUAGUACCUCACAUAAUCUCAUAUCUUUGAUUUGUAUCUUUACACUUCUUGGUUAUUUUUCAUUCAAAUGUUUUUGAGUUUUACUUCCUAAAUAUUAGGUCUUGGUGUGUUUGGAUUAAAUUCUAAUAAAAGAGUUCAUUUUACAAUUUUCUUAACAAAAUGAUCCAAUACAUGCAUGCACCUAACAGGGCGAUUUGAAAAGUCCAAUGCAAACCAAUAUUUUUUGUCUGAAGUUUGGUUCAUUGAUAUCUGAAGCAAUUUUAGGGAGAUGACUUCUAAUUGUCCCUGCAAUCAUAUUACAACAUGGUACUGCAGAUGCCUUUCUUGUGAGAAAGGAACAGUGACUGCAAAUAUAAUGCACCUGAAAUUGCAACUUCAGACCCUGAUUCUAUGACAAGUGACAUCCAGAAAAGCCCUUAAAAUUUCUUCCUAACGGCAGGUAAUGCCUUUCUUUAAACAGGGACACAUCCAUUCCAAACUUGACUGGAGUGGUACAUGAUCCUACUUUUGUAAGAUCAAUUAAAAGUCAUUUUCUUGGGGGUUACUUGCAAGAACUUUAAGUUCUGUACUGGACCAACUAAAGUGGGAACAUGAUCUUUAGCUUGCGUAAGACCAUUUGGAAUUGGUUUUUCAUGGGAGUUACUUGCAUGCACCCUAAUUUAUAUUCAUAGUGUAUAUAAAUACUAAAGAAUUUUCGAUUGGAACUUUUUCUAGCUGGAGAACAGCACCUGUGCAGCCUUGAGCAAAGAAAUUGCCCAGCAGACUCAGAGGCUGAGGUAUAACAGUACAACUAUUACAUUACUGGGAUGUACAGUAAAAAGAUGCAGGGGAUAUAUUUGAUAUUAUCAUACUUCCAUUCACUUUGUCCAUUACGUACCACAUUGUAAUUCAGAGACAUAAUCCCAUCUGCAACAGGCAAAUGAAAGGAGAAGAGCUCCAGGUAUUAAAAAUAGAAGAAUUGACUGAACUAGAGGAAUUACUUGAAGCUGGUCUGUGCAACGUCGUGGAAGAAAAGGUCUGUUUUAUUGAAUUAUGAUUAUGACAUUUUCUGACAUACUUUAACUUGUUGAACUUUCUUUUGGUUUCAGGAAGAAAGAAUUCGAACAGAGAUCAGUGAUCUCCAGAGAAAGGUCAAGAACCUAACUUCUAAAUUUUCCAAAGCAUUCCAUAUACAAAUUUUUAGAGUAAAAGAGAAAACCAAAGAAAAUGGAGACUAGCUAGUAUCAGGUUUACAUUGAAAAGUUUGACUUUGUGAUUGGUUCUUAAGCAAUGAUUUCCACCAUUUAUGAUGCUUCCUGACUCUUCUAACCUUUUGUUAAAAGUCUUAACCAAUGCAUUUGUUUAUGGAAAAAAAUUAAUUACAAUUGCAACUGAAGUAGUGCCAAUACAAGUUGCAAUAAGUCUAUAAAGAUCAAGUUUGCUAUUUGAAAUAAAUAUUUCAAGGAAAUUUGCAAAAAGAAGGUUUGAACCUGGAAACUACGACAAAUUCAACAACGAUGAGACCAAUAAAACUCAGGAGGGACUUGGGACUUGUUGGAUUACGCACACUCUGAUUGUUUUGACAAUAGCUCUAGGAAGGCUCAAGACGUAAUUAGAUUACACAAACAUUUUUUUUGGGAUGUCUUGCUUGUCUGUGUACACAAGCUUUCCCAAGCCCGGGGUUUGCUAGUUUGACACCUCAAAGGGUUCCCAAGUGAAAGGGAUCAGCACAUGAGGGCCUCCCCUUAAUAAUUUUAAUUUGUUGACAAUAAUUGUUGAAAAGUACCUGAUAAAAUUUAGUUAGAUGCUUUGGUUAAUGAACAUCUUAAGAAACAAGGUAAAGUUUCUGCACUUUUUUUAGAUUUUAUGCAGUUAGGGUCAAGAUGCAUGCUUUAUGCUUUCACUGUGCUUUUUGUAGAAGAAGAGAUAUGGAAGGAAUAAAAAUUAUAAAAAUUAUAAAAUUCUUUUCUUUUCUUUUUUCGUUUUCAGCCUAUAAAAUGACCCACAUAUAUACAAAAAUUCCUAACAAAAAAAUUAGGAACUUUCCUAACGUAAUUAAACUAGAUCUCUUUGAUUAGGGUAUUGCUUAAUUUUCUUCUCAAUUACAAAAUUAUGGUUUUCCUAAUUUCAUUCUUCCACACUUCCCCUCAAAGCUGGUGAAUAGAUGUUUUUCAUUCCCAACUUGGAUACACUUACUUGAAACAUUGUACUUCUUAAGCCUUUUGUGAGUAUAUCUGCAAGUUGGCGAUUGAUAGAUCAUAAGGAGUACAGAUCAAUCCACUAUCUAGUUUUGCUUUAAUAAAAUGUCUAUCUAUCUCUAUGUCUUUCGUUUGACUGUGUUGCACUAAAUUAUGUGUCAUGUUGAUUGACUAAUUGCAGAUUUGUUGUUGCAAUAAAAUCUCAUUGGGUCAUCCUAUUUAAUCUUCAAAGCUUCCAAAGUGAUCUUUAACCAUAGUAGUUCACAAACUCCUUAAGCCAUUGCAUGAAAUUCUGUUUCUGCACUGACCUUGCCACCAAACUCUAUUUCUUACUCCAUGUCACCAAAUUCCCACUAAGAAAGGUGUAAUACCUAGUGGUUGAUCUUUUUUCAACCACAAGUUCAACAUAAUUUGCAUAUGUGAAUGUUUCAAGUACUAGUCCCGAUCUUCAUUUAAAUAGAAUGCCCUUUCUUGGAGGCCCUCCCUUUAAGGUACUGUAGCAUUGGAUUAGCAGUUUGUAGAACCUUUUUUGGAUGUGUAUGAAUUGACUAAUCAUACUCAUAGCAUAUGCUAUAUCCAAUCUUGUGUGAGAGAUAAAUGAGUCUUCUUAUUGGAUGUUGAUACACCUCUCUAUCUUAGCCUCUCCAAGCUUAUGAUUAAGAUCUAUUGGUGUGUCUGUUGGUUUACACGCCAACUUCUCUAUUUGCUUGAGAAUGUCUGUUAUAUAUUUUUGUUGAAAAAUAAAAACUCCCUAUUUGGAAAAAAAAUUUUUUACUUAGAAUGUACAAUCUCGAUUCCUAGAAAGUAUUUCAACAUUCUUAACUCUUUAAUCACAAAUUCCUUGGUCAAGCAUUGCCUCAAAGUUUGUCUCUCAUUUCCAUCAUUUCCUGUCAUGAUGAUGUUGUCUACAUAUACCAGAAGGGUUGUAACUCCUAAAUUUGAAUGCUUUACGAACAAUGUAUGAUUUUCUUGACUUUGUCUGUAUCCCAUGUUUUUCAUCACUUUAGCAAACCUUCCAAACUACACCAUUGGAGACUGUUUCAGCUUGUGUAGAGCUUUCUUCAGUUUAUACACGUUUUCAGUGGUUAGGUUACAUCCAAAUCCUAGAAGGACUUUCAUAUAAAUCUCUUCUUCAAGAUCUCCAUUGAGAAAUGCAUUUUUUAUGUCGAGCUAUUGUAGAUCCCAAUUAUAAUUUGUUGUCAAUGAUAACAAAAUUAUGACUGUGUUCAUCUUGGAAAUCGAAGCAAAUGUCCAUAUAAUCCACGUUAUAUGUCUGAGUGUAUCUUUUAACCACCAAUCUUGCCUUAUACCUCUCUAAUGUCCCAACUGCUCUAUACUUAACAGUAUAAACCCAUUUACAUCCCAUUAGCCUUUUUCCUACAAGCAAAUGUACCAUCUUACAAGUUUUAUUCUUCUCCAGGGCCUCCAUUUCUACAUUCAUGGUUCAUCUCCAAUUUUCAUUAGAUAAAGCCUCGGAUAGAGUGGUAGGAAUAUGAAUAUGGUUCAAACUUGUAAGAAAAAUUUUAGGGGAUGGAGACAACUUUUCGAAUGAUACAAUAUGGGAAAGUAGAUACAAAGGAUGUUUAGUGCAUUCCCUUGUUCCAUUCUUGAUGGCAAUAAAGAGAUUUUGAUGUAUGAGUUUUUCAGGCUAAAGUUCUAACUCAGUUUGUAAGGGAGGAUGAGAUACUGUUACCUCAUUUCUAGAAGCUGAUUUAGAUUCUUGGACUUGUAUAAGUCUAGGGAUUGCAACUUUCUUCCUUGAGUACGCAUUGCUAGUCAUUUGAUUCUUAGGUGCAGGUUCAAUGGACGAUGACUCAGGUUCGGAGGAGGGUACAAAUAUUGAAUCAAAUACUUUAGGAGGGUCAAUGAGAAAGGGAUCAAUGAAAUAGGAAUCUCGAUGAUUGUCUUCCUUGAUGGAAUCCUCCACCUAAAGAUAAGGUUGGGGAAAAUAAGACUCACUUUCAUUGAAAGUAACAUCAACUGAGACAAAAAACUUUUUAGAUAGUGGAUGGUAACACUUAUAUCCUUUUUGAGUUGAAUAAUAUCCCAUAAAAAUACAUUUGAUUGCUCUUAGGUCUAAUUUCCUCUCGUUUGAACUAUGAAUAUGCACAAAGGACAUACACCCAAAUACUUUAAGAAGGAGAUGGUUCGUGGUUCUCAUAUGAGGAUAAAAUAAUGAGAGUAUUUCCAUGAGACUUUUGAAACCUAAAACUCUAGAAGGUAAUUAGUUUAUGAAAUGUGGUGGUUAGAACAGUUUCACCAUAAUAAGAUUUAGGCAUAUGUUUUUGGAACAAAAAUGCUCAUGUUGUAUUGAGAAGGUGGUCAUUUUAAAUAAUUCUUUCCAUUAGGGAAAAUAUAAAAGAACUCUCAGGUAAAAAAAAAAAAAAAAAAAAAAAAAAAAAAAAAAAAAACCUCACUAAAGACUACCCAUAGGGCUCAAAGAACCAUGUUAGCAAUCCCAUUGGCGUUGAUGUGGGAUAUCGGUGGCCGCAGCAGCUAUGUCGGAGGUCUAGCACUCUCGACGGUCACGAAAGUACGUCGAAGGUCUAACACCCUUGAUUUUCGACUAUAUUUACAAUGCAAGGAAUGCCUUUAGAAGGAAAAAUCUUCAUUUGCAGCAAUAGUGAGAAAGAGAUUUAGUGUGAGGUGGAGACGUUACACACAAGAAUCCUCAUUGUUGGUAGAGACAACGGGGUGACAAUGAGGGUUUUGUUGAGGUCUCUGACUAUUUUCACGAUAAGUUUUUCUAAGGCUUUGUUUGCAACAAUGGCACAAUGCAAACGAGAGGCAAAUUCUUAAGGUCAACAAUAAAUAUCGACUAUGAUCUCCAACUUGGCAAUGAAGGCCAAAACAAAAAAUAUUCUUAUCUUCCCAGAUUCACGAGCUUAGGGCUCUAAUAUUAUGUAGAAGAAGAGAGAUGAAAGGAAUAAAAGGUAUAAAAUUCUUUUGUUUCAUUUUUAGCCUGUACAAUGACCCACAUAUAUACAAAAAUUCCUAGCUACAAAAUUAGGAACUUUUUAAACCUAAUUACACUAGAUCCCUUUGAUUUAAAAUUGCCUAAUUUUCUUAUCAAUUACAAAAUUAUGGUUUUCCUAAUUUUAUUCUUCCACGCUUGUUAAUUUCUCUUAUUUUCUUUAUAUUUAAUUUUCAUGCAGGGAGACCUACUGCAGGAAGAGAAUGAAAGGUUGAGAAAGGAGGUAAGAACUUUAACUAUACCUUCUUUUUGCUUUUUAUUUUU
rnacentral:lncRNA from 1 species